ensembl:lncRNA
GCGGGCUGGUUCAGAGGCAGAGUAGUCAGGCGGACUGGUUCAGGGUCAGAGGCAGAGUAGUCAGGCAGGCUGGUUCAGGGUCAGAGGCAGAGUAGUCAGGCGGGCUGGUUCAGAGGCAGAGUAGUCAGGCGGGCUGGUUCAGGGUCAGAGGCAGAGUAGUCAGGCGGGCUGGUUCAGAGUCAGAGUAGUCAGGCGGGCUGGUUCAGGGUCAGAGGCAGAGUAGUCAGGCGGGCUGGUUCAGGGUCCGGACUGGCAAGGGUCAAAAACCAGGAGGGUGGGAAAAAAAGAGAGGCUGGGAAAAGCCAGGAACUGACAGGACAAACGUUGGUAAGCUUGACAAACAAGAGGAACUGGUAACAGACAGACAGAAAACACAGGUAUAAGUACACAGAG